GGAGAGGAGCUGAGGGGCGAGAGGCGCUGAGGGGCGCGGGCUGGAGGGACGAGGCUGAGGGUAUGAAGGAGAUCCCAUGGGAGCCGUGCUGUGGGGCAGGAAAGGGCCAUAUUUAAAGCGGGAGAGGAAGCCCUGGGAGCGUGUGGCACAGCACUCGUGGCUGUGAAGGAGCUGAAGGAGCCUGGUGACAAAGCAGGGCCCAGCCGCCCCUCCAGGUGGCCGAACAGCAGGGACCACUCGUGCUGCUGCUCAUAAUCCUCCGCGGCCCUUCUGGCCCAGAAAGGCAACCCUCUGUGCAUGCAGGAGGAGAGCAGGAGGAUAAAGGGAUGACGUGUAGCUAGCAGGACGCUCUCCUGGAGCCCCUUCAGGCCCUGGAACUCCCGACGCUGAGUGUCCCUCUUGUCACUGCUCUGCACUCGGACACCGAGCCAGCGACCACAACUGAGUGUGACCACCAGCCCCUUCCUCAUCCUCCCAGGAAAUCCCUGUCUCUCCAGUCUGGGGACAAGGAUGGAGUGUGGGACUGUGUCAAACACUUUACGCAAGUCCAGACUCCGAGUCCCCUCCUUCUCCAUGUGGCCUGGAAGGGAGGGCAGCAGGAGCCAAUGUCCUCGGCGUAAGGCAGACAAGAUCUGUGAGACACCACAGG